rnacentral:rRNA from 1 species
GGACAAUGGGGGCAACCCUGAUCCAGCAAUGCCAUGUGUGUGAAGAAGGCCCUAGGGUUGUAAAGCACUUUAGUUGGGGAGGAAAGCCUCAAGGUUAAUAGCCUUGGGGGAGGACGUUACUCAAAGAAUAAGCACCGGCUAACUCCGUGCCAGCAGCCGCGGUAAUACGGGGGGUGCAAGCGUUAAUCGGAAUUACUGGGCGUAAAGGGUCUGUAGGUGGUUUGUUAAGUCAGAUGUGAAAGCCCAGGGCUCAACCUUGGAACUGCAUUUGAUACUG